rnacentral:rRNA from 1 species
UACGAGGGGGGCUAGCGUUGCUCGGAAUCACUGGGCGUAAAGGGUGCGUAGGCGGGCCUUUAAGUCAGGGGUGAGAUCCUGGAGCUCAACUCCAGAACUGCCUUUGAUACUGAAGAUCUUGAGUUCGGGAGAGGUGAGUGGAACUGCGAGUGUAGAGGUGAAAUUCGUAGAUAUUCGCAAGAACACCAGUGGCGAAGGCGGCUCACUGGCCCGAUACUGACGCUGAAGUACGAAAGCGUGGGGAGCAAACAGG